UCACUUUCUGUUGUCGUUGUUACACUUCUUCUGUUGUUUAGUCUCUCUUAUUAGUCUGAUACGAAUCUCUUUGACUUUCCUUUUUUUCUCCCCUUUUGUUUGAUUUGAUCUAUAAAAUGCUCCCCAGCUGAGUGUACCUUAGUGCUCCAUAUCUUGAUAAGAUUAUAAGUAACCAAUCACCCAUUCAUUAGUCCCUGAAUCUCUAAUGCUGUCAGAAUGAAAGUGAAACUGUUACAAAAGAGGUCCAUGUUAAAGGUGCAGUAGGAGAUCUUGGAAAAUGCUAACUUUAGCCUGAUAGCACUGAAAGUGAACGAACCCACCCUUCUUGCAAUCGCCGUCCAAAGCCACGCCCCCUGAAUCCAUAUAUGCUCACAGAACAGAAUACCAGAGACAACAUUACUACAAUAGGCUACAUCCCCAGUACUGCACAUUUCAUAUGCAUCUCUUAUCGUGCGACGUUUGUACUAUUCGACUUUAAGUGCCCUGCGAAGUGGACAUCACCAGAUGUUCUGCCGUGAUUUGUUGUUGGGCGGGGAUGCGCUACGACUGGAAUUGUGAACCGCUGAUCUAUAUCAUGUGUCAUUCACCAGUGAGAAAACUUUAUAUUACAUCUAGUAAAAGUUCUACAAUCCAAGAAAGGAUGUUUGCCUGCCAUGGGUGAACGUGCUGAUGAUGUAUCCUGUCUGCGCGAACCGGGUGUGCAUAGGUAUGCAAAUAUGUAUGUUGACAGGCAGGUAGGAAAGCCAAGUUAAACGCUCGGAUCGAACAUUUCUUUGUCCUACGCCUUCUAAAGAAUACAUAAAUGCAGUUAAAUACAUUUAGACCACUUAACUUAAUGAUUGCCAUUGGGAUGUGAAGAGACUUUCAACCAGCAUAACAAAAAAUGUUUCUGAAGACAAUCCCCUAUUGCACCUUUAAACGUACGUCAUCAUUCAUCCCUUUGUGAAUUCCCUGCACUCUGCACUAUUAUCACUUUGAAUUUUAUUCUGACUGGAGCCAAAGGCUGCUCACACCGAAGCCUCUUUGUGCUUUUGCUAGAUGGGAGCUGUCCUGCCAUCAGGGCAUUGCUAAAAUCUCUUCAGAACAGAGCACAUGAGACACACUGAGUGGCAAUAAUGGCACAGUAGGUUGACUCAAGAUUGAGUAGAAAAAGCAGGAGAAUGGAUAGAGUGAAAGAGACAGAGCUCACAACAAAAACAAGCGUGUGCUGUUCGCUCUGUCUGAUCACACAGUCAAGACUUGUGUGUGCUUUAACUCACGCGCCUGGUCCAUGUCCUAAGGUAAAGAACCCCCUUCCUAACUCGCAUAGGAGGAGGGGCGAAUCUAAUACUCUGUUCAAAUGUCAGUUUUCAGUUGUUGCUGUCCACUUCCCCAGUAACAUGUGCUAAUCUAUUAACUUCAUUUGGGAAAAAAUAUGAACACAGUCCUCUUUGGAAGGGUUGUUGGCCUCAGUGUUUCACAGAACUGACUCAAAGAAUUCAUGAAAAAUUCCUUGGACAUUUCUGGGAGUCCAUUGGGUGUGUCCUGUUAAUUUGCCUCUAAUACAACAUUACAUUACAUGACUCUAUUAUCAGCACAAUCUAUGUUGAAAAAACAAACCAUUCUACAGUCGUUGACCAAACUCAGCCCCAAAACUCAGUUUUGCAAUGACCUGUCCUUGAAAAAACAUACUCUGUGAACCUAUGCUAGAGCAGUUCUGAGGAAAGUGACCCAACAGUUCUUGUUUAGACCCAUACCAGUGUUUUGUAUUUAAGUUUUCAGCACUGGAACAUUUGGUUUAAAUUUAUAAGAUACUUUAAUUUAUUAAAUUAAAUUCUGCCAGUGUUUUGAUUUUUGUAAACUUGAAGUAGGCCAAGUAGACCUCUGCAGUAAUGAAUUAGAAAAUGUAGCUUUUACACACAGACAAGUGAUUAUGCAUAUGAACUUUGCCUGCUUGACCAAAAAAUAAGACAUACAGCAGCAAAGCUGUUGCAACAACAUUCAUCCAAAACUGCUUGUUUCUCUCUCUCUCUCUUCCUCUCCUUUUUCUAUGUCCACAGUUGAAAAACAUACUGACUCAAGUGUCAGGAAAAAAAACAAGUUGGCCAUCCUCACUUACUAAGAGAAGGAGAGAAUAAAAAAAAAAGAUUGACCCUGCCCUUUGUGUGCAGUCAGUCAGCCUUUUGUCCUCAUUUCUCUCCUUCCAUCUUGGUUUGUUGUUCAGCAGGAAAGAGGGAUCAAAAUAAGUGUGGAAGCUCUUCGCAUGGAGCAACACCCCAUUAAAUGAUGCACAGCAUUAUUUGAUUUUUAGGAAAAUAAUUAUUGUUUGUUUGUAAGAAGAAAUUUGCAACAUUUUUAACAAAAUAUCUGAAUAUUUGUGAAUACAUGUUUUUUUUUAUGCUUUGGGAUGCUCAAAAUGCACACAAAAAAGUAAUGCUAAGAAGGGGGGCAUUAAAUAUACUCACAGAAAAACUUCCACUGUACCCCUUAUUAUGGCUACCUUCUGUUUACUGAAACUGGAAGCUGAGAAAAACCAAUGUCCUGUAUUAGUUUAUGUGAGGAGCUCUGAUAUGUUUAUUUAAUGGAUCUAAAGUGCUCUGUAAAUGUGUGCUGUGUUUAAAAGAACGUUAAAGAAG